GCAUGCCUACAACAUAGUGUUAAUGCACCGGAUCCCAUUAGAACUUUGCAGUUAAGUGUGCUUGGGCUAGAGUAGCACUGGGAUGGGUGAUCGUCUGGGAAGUCGUAGUGUUUUACAUGCC
rfam:Picea glauca, whole genome shotgun sequence.